rnacentral:rRNA from 1 species
UACGUGGGGUGCGAGGGUUGUUCGGCAUUACUGGGCGUAAAGGGCGUGUCGGCGGCCUAUUAUGUCAGGUGUGAAAGCCCUCGGCCUAACAGAGGAAGUGCGCCUGAAACUGCUAGGCUUGAGUACGAGAGAGGAGGACGGAAUUCCCAGUGUAGAGGUGAAAUUCGUAGAUAUUGGGAGGAACACCGGCGGCGAAAGCAGUUCUCUGUAUCGAUACUUACGCUAAGACGCGUUAGCGUUUGGAGUAAAUAGG